UACGAAGGGGGCUAGCGUUGCUCGGAAUCACUGGGCGUAAAGCGCACGUAGGCGGAUUGCUAAGUCAGGGGUGAAAUCCUGGAGCUCAACUCCAGAACUGCCUUUGAUACUGGCAAUCUCGAGUCCGGGAGAGGUGAGUGGAACUGCGAAGUGUAGAGGUGAAAUUCGUAGAUAUUCGCAAGAACACCAGUGGCGAAGGCGGUUGCCUGGGGCUUUGCUGACGC
rnacentral:rRNA from 1 species